rnacentral:rRNA from 1 species
GAACGCUGGCGGCAGGCCUAACACAUGCAAGUCGAACGGUAACAGGAAGCAGCUUGCUGCUUCGCUGACGAGUGGCGGACGGGUGAGUAAUGUCUGGGAAACUGCCUGAUGGAGGGGGAUAACUACUGGAAACGGUGGCUAAUACCGCAUAACGUCGCAAGACCAAAGAGGGGGACCUUCGGGCCUCUUGCCAUCAGAUGUGCCCAGAUGGGAUUAGCUWGUUGGUGAGGUAAYGGCUCACCAAGGCGACGAUCCCUAGCUGGUCUGAGAGGAUGACCAGCCACACUGGAACUGAGACACGGUCCAGACUCCUACGGGAGGCAGCAGUGGGGAAUAUUGCACAAUGGGCGCAAGCCUGAUGCAGCCAUGCCGCGUGUAUGAAGAAGGCCUUCGGGUUGUAAAGUACUUUCAGCGGGGAGGAAGGUGUUGYGGUUAAUAACCRCAGCAAUUGACGUUACCCGCAGAAGAAGCACCGGCUAACUCCG